AUGUUCAAUGCGGCCUCUGUGAUCUUACUCGGUGAUGGGGCGUCUGCAAGGUUCUGGACCGAUAACUGGCUCCCGGGAGGUAGUUCUAUUGCAGCAACAGCUCCAGCGUUGUUCUCUUUUGUCAAAGACUCAGGCUGCUCAGUCCGGGAGGCUCUUCAUAAUCGAUCUUGGAUCAGGGAUAUCACGGGCGGAAUCUCGGUGCAAGGCCUAGCGCAGUAUCUAUCAAUUUGGGAUCUAACCUCCGCUACAAGUCUAACGUCAGGUGUGAGGGAUCAGGCUCGCUGCAAGCUUACUAAGGGGCAAGAGUUCUCGGUCGGCAGUGCGUACAAGAUGAUGUUCAUGCCCAAUAUUCGUUUUGCUUGCAACAAGCCAAUCUGGAGAUCCAAAGCACCACCAUGA
rnacentral:rRNA from 1 species